rnacentral:rRNA from 1 species
AUUGAACGCUGGCGGCAGGCCUAACACAUGCAAGUCGAGCGGAUGAAGGGAGCUUGCUCCUGGAUUCAGCGGCGGACGGGUGAGUAAUGCCUAGGAAUCUGCCUGGUAGUGGGGGAUAACGUCCGGAAACGGGCGCUAAUACCGCAUACGUCCUGAGGGCGAACGUGGGGGAUCUUCGGACCUCACGCUCUCAGAUGAGCCUAGGUCGGAUUAGCUAGUUGGUGGGGUAAAGGCCUACCAAGGCGACGAUCCGUAACUGGUCUGAGAGGAUGAUCAGUCACACUGGAACUGAGACACGGUCCAGACUCCUACGGGAGGCAGCAGUGGGGAAUAUUGGACAAUGGGCGAAAGCCUGAUCCAGCCAUGCCGCGUGUGUGAAGAAGGUCUUCGGAUUGUAAAGCACUUUAAGUUGGGAGGAAGGGCAGUAAGUUAAUACCUUGCUGUUUUGACGUUACCAACAGAAUAAGCACCGGCUAACUUCGUG